rnacentral:rRNA from 1 species
UACGUAGGGGGCAAGCGUUGUCCGGAAUCAUUGGGCGUAAAGCGCGUGUAGGCGGCCCGGUAAGUCCGCUGUGAAAGUCGGGGGCUCAACCCUCGAAUGCCGGUGGAUACUGUCGGGCUAGAGUGCGGGAGAGGCGAGUGGAAUUCCAGGUGUAGCGGUGAAAUGCGCAGAUAUCAGGAGGAACACCGGCGGCGAAGGCGGCCAACUGGACGAUUACUGACGCUGAGACACGAAAGCGUGGGGAGCAAACAGG